ACCAAAUCCUCAACGAUGGAUGUCUAGGUUCCCACAACGAUGAAGAACGCAGCGAAGUGCGAUAGGCAAUGCGAAUUGCAGAACCGUGAGUCAUCAGAUUUUUGAACGCAACUGGCACCGAGGGGAUAUCCCCUGGGUAUGCUUGUUUCAGUG
rnacentral:rRNA from 1 species